rnacentral:rRNA from 1 species
UACGGAGGGGGCUAGCGUUGUCCGGAAUUAUUGGGCGUAAAGGGCGCGUAGGCGGCCAUGCGUGUCUUCCGUGAAAUCCCUCGGCUUAACUGAGGACGUGCGGAAGAAACUGCAAGGCUCGAGUCCGGGAGAGGGGGGUGGAAUUCCCAGUGUAGCGGUGAAAUGCGUAGAUAUUGGGAGGAACACCGGUGGCGAAGGCGGCCCCCUGGACCGGUACUGACGCUGAGGCGCGAAAGCGUGGGUAGCAAACGGG